rnacentral:lncRNA from 10 species
UUUUCUUAAAUAAUUUAUUUGCAAUAAAUUAACAGUUAAAUAACAAAUUAUAGUCAAUGGUUAAAAACUCACAAAACAUCAACAAAUAAAAUCUUUGGUUGAUAUAUCUAAUCACAUUUUACAAAGUACAAUAAUUUAAUUUCAGUAAAAAGACAUAUGAAGAAGAUUACUGAAUGCUAUUGAAAAGAGACAAGCAUAAUGAUAAGGUGCUUUUUCAUUUUCAAUCCUAAAAUACUUGGUGGCUGAACAGGGCCGUAGAAAGGCUAAACACAGUGUCUGCAGACCUAGAUCUGGGUCCUGGGUUUCCACUAACUGCGCAUGUGGCCUCUGGACAGUCACUUCAAAUCCCUCUAGAACCAUUUUCUCCUCUGUAAAAUGAGGGACCGGCAUUAGACCAUCAAAUGAUCUAUAUGAAUCAAUGGACCUGUUUAUACCUGGUUUCUAGAAGUUUCUAGUGGUGUCCAUAGCAGACUAAACACUUUUUUUUUUUUUUUUUGAGACAGAGUCUUGCUGUCUCCUGGAGUGCAGUGGUGCGAUCUCAGCUCACUGCAAACACCACCUCUCAGGUUUAAGCGAUUCUUUCUCCUCAGCCUCCUGAGUAGCUGGGAUUACAGGCGCCCGCCACCACACCCAGCUAAUUGUUUUAGAGAUGGGGUUUCAACAUGCUGGCUGGGCUGGUCUCGAACUCCUGGCCUCAGGUGAUCCUCCCGCCUCAGCCUCCCAAAGUGCUGGGAUUACAGGUGUGAACCACGGUGCCCACCGCCAAACACUUUUGUUUAAGUUACAGAGUAGCAUAGGUUAUAUAAUCUGUUCAAACUAUUCUGUUGGGCUCAAAUGAUCUAUAAACAGAUGUACCAUCCAGUGAACCGUAAUGUUUUUGAAUCAUAAAUUCUUGCUACUGCCAUCACCAAGCCUUAAGUAUAGGACACCAGAGAAGACUCUAGAAUGAUUUUUGAGUUAGCUUCCAGUCUCAUGGAUACCUUGUCAAGGUUUUGGUCCACAAUUGACUAUAUUUUCUUUUUGGCAGACACCUUCUUUUUUUUCUCUUUCCUUCUUUCUUUUCUUUGAGACAGGUAUCACUAUGUUGCUCAGGCUGGCCUCAAACUCCUAAUAUCAAGCAGUCCUCCCGCCUCAGCCUCCCGAGUAGCUGGGAGUACAGGCACAUGCCAACACACCUGACGUAACAGUCACUUUAACCAAACAUGACUUGGUGUACAAAAAUGCAAGCAGGCAAAAGAAAUCAUUUAGGAGGUGAAAUACAUAAAUUAAUGAUUUAAAGUUUCAUUUAUUAAUUAUAGGAUUAUUUGCAAAUUUCUUUAAAUAAUUUCCCCCUCACAUAGUUUAAUGAGAACUUGAUCUCCUCAUGACUUUUCAGGAGCACUCUGUUACAUUUCAGCGGAAAGGCCCUCUUUGUCGAAGAUCAUGGCCCCCUUUGACACAGAUCAUGGCCCCAGCAGCAGAAAAGUGGACUCAUCCUGGGUAGAGGGGCAAAAUCCUAUAUCUAGGCAAAGAGAUACUCUGUGCUUUCCUUGGCAACAUGUUGAAACAAAGCUAAUAUAAAAAUACCGUCAAAAGUGUUAUUUUGAUUUAAUUUCAGAUGAGAGAGUAAGUGAUGUUAAUUGACAACUGUCAUCAAAACUUUGAAAUGUACUAUCACCUGGUAAUUUGGGGGUAAGCUUGUGUCCACAUAAGCUAGUGAGAAAAAAAAAAAUGCACAUUCAGGAAAACCAUUUUGAUCUCUUUUCUUAUGUGUUUCCCUGGACUAUGCUGGGUCCGUGGGGAAGUUUACCAAAUACAGUUUAAAUAAAGGGCCUAGAAGGAAAUCUUACUGGUUCAAAUAAAUGCAUUGUGUUACAAGUGUGAAUGCUGUAUAGAAUUUAAUGACAUAAUGACCUUUCUAUUUCGGGAGAAUGAGAUUGUAAGAGUUUCAUCCAGCUUUCUUCCAAUCACCAGACCAAGGAGGCUCAUUUCAACCUUUCACAAGUAAAACACCUUAUUUCUGAGUGGCAGGAAAUUUAAAUUCCUCUGUUGUGUAUAUACUGGAAAUCCCUAAUCUCAAAUCCAUCAGUUUCCUACGUAUGGUUUAGAAGGUUUUAAAACCAAUGUACUGUCAAGAACUUUGGGGAAGGAAAAUGUCCCAGAGAUAAUCAAAUAACAUUAUUUGUAUUCCAGGUUCAACUAUAGGAUUUAUCUUUGACUCCAAGUAUCAUCAGGGUGGCAUAUGGUGAUGGAUUCUGCCAGAUCCGUGCUAUUUCACUGACUUGUUGGGUACCAGGCCUCCAAGCCUAAGACUAAGCUUGAUCACCCUUGAUCAAAUACAUCUCAUUUUUCAAAACCAACUUUAAAAUCUGUUCUGAGGGAAGCAUAUGCUACUCAUUCAUCUGAGAUCUAUUAUGAGAAACUUUUUUCUUUUUGAGAAGGCUAAUGUGCCAUAGCAAAGAAGACAAAUUACAAAUUCAUUAGUUCAUUAGCGUCUGGUAUUACAUUUCUAUUGUUUACUCUAAAUGUUUUGUUUAAACUAAGCUCUCUGUUAAAUGAGUCAUUAAAUGGUAAUGUUUGGAUUUUCAUAAUUAUAAUUGAAUUUUACAGGUCUUGAAUCAGCAGGAGUUCAGGCUGAGUGAAACGUUUUAAUGCAUGACAUGUGAAGUGAAGGCUUUAGCUAACUUAUUUCAGCUAACUGUUUUUCGUAAGAAAACUACGAGCCCUAACACAUAAAUUAUCCAGUUGUUUCGUCUCACAGAUAUAAUCCACUAUUUGCCUUUAGAAGUCACAUAUGUACAAAUGGCUCAGCACAAGUAGCACCUCACACUUCUACAGAGUUGAAAGGACACAGAACUGUUCCACAUAUCUCUGCUGCAUUCCUGUAAUCCCCACACCUUAGUGGGCGGGGGGCGGGGGGUGUCUUUUCUCCACAGAUUUUUCCCGCAAGUCUCCCAGGUUGGUUUCUGCAGGGGUUAUCUUUCUAUUCAUCAAUCUUAAGAUUUAUUUUGUUCACCUUUGAUCAAAUGCAUCUCAUUUUUCAAAACCAUCUUUAAAAUCUGUUCUGAGGGAAGCAUAUGCUGCUACUCAUUCAUCUGAGAUCCAUUAUGAGAAAACUUUUUUUGUUAUUGUUGUUUUUGAGAGCGAGUCUUGCUCCGUUGCCCAGGCUGGAGUGCAGUGGCAUGAUCUUGGGUCACUGCAACCUCCCCCUCCCGGGUUCAAGCGAUUCUCGUGCCUCAGCCUCCUGAGUAUCUGGGAUUACAGGUGCGCACUACCACACCUGGCUCAUUUUUGUAUUUGUAGUAGAGACGGAGUUUCACCAUGUUGGCCAGGCUGGUCUCAAACUCCUGACCUCAGGUGAUCUGCCCAUCUCAGCCUCCCAAAGUGCUGGGAUUACAGGCGUGAGCCACCGUGCCCGGCCCAUCAAUCUUAAGAUUUAUUUUGUUCACCCUUGAUCAAAUCUCAUUUUUCAAAACAAACUUUAAAAUAUGUUCUGAAGGAAGCAUAUUCUACUUAUUCAUCUGAGAUCCAUUAUGAGAAAACUUCUUUCUUAUAACUGAAGACAUUGAGUAUAAACAGUGAUUUUCAGCCUUUUUUUUUUUUUAUUUAGAAUUUUUUCUCCAAAAGUCUUAUGCAGAACCUGGAUUUAAAAUAGGCAGAGGUAGGCCGCUCUACCUGACAUCC